UUUGUAGCAGAAGUAUAUCCCAUGCAAUAUUUGGGAUAUACUUAUACUCAAA
rnacentral:pre_miRNA from 1 species